CUUCUCGAAUCGCAAGGCUUCAUGCUGGCGAUGGUUCAUUCAAAUUUCUGCCCUAUCAACUUUCGAUGGUAGGAUAGUGGCCUACCAUGGUUUCAACGGGUAACGGGGAAUAAGGGUUCGAUUCCGGAGAGGGAGCCUGAGAAACGGCUACCACAUCCAAGGAAGGCAGCAGGCGCGCAAAUUACCCAAUCCUGACACAGGGAGGUAGUGACAAUAUAUAACGAUGCAGGGCCCUUACGGGUCUUGUAAUUGGAAUGAGUACAAUUUAAAUACCUUAACGAGGAACAAUUGGAGGGCAAGUCUGGUGCCAGCAGCCGCGGUAAUUCCAGCUCCAAGAGCGUAUAUUAAAGUUGUUGCAGUUAAAAAGCUCGUAGUUGAACUUUGGGCUUGGCUGGCCGGUCCGUUUUUUAACGAGUACUGGUUUUCAGCCGAGCCUUUCCUCCUGGUUUCUGUGUAGUUGGGCUUGUCUCAGCUGCAUAUGAUCCAGGACUAUUACUUUGAAAAAAUUAGAGUGUUCAAAGCAGGCGUUUAGCUCGAAUAUAUUAGCAUGGAAUAAUGAAAUAGGACGUAUGUUCUAUUUGUGGUUUCUAGGACCAUCGUAAUGAUUAAUAGGACGGUCGGGGCAUCAGUAUUCAAUUGUCAGAGGUGAAUUUCUGGAUUAUUGAAGACUAACUACUGCGAAAGCAUUUGCCAAGGACGUUUUCAUUAAUCAAGAACGAAAGUUAGGGGAUCGAAGAUGAUCAGAUACCGUAGUAGUCUUAACCAUAAACUAUGCCGACUAGGGAUCGGGUGUUGUUCUUUUACUGACUCACUCGGCACCUUACGAGAAAUCAAAGUUUUUGGGUUCUGGGGGGAGUAUGGUCGCAAGGCUGAAACUUAAAGGAAUUGACGGAAGGGCACCACCAGGAGUGGAGCCUGCGGCUUAAUUUGACUCAACACGGGGAAACUCACCAGGUCCAGACACAAUAAGGAUUGACAGAUUGAGAGCUCUUUCUUGAUUUUGUGGGUGGUGGUGCAUGGCCGUUCUUAGUUGGUGGAGUGAUUUGUCUGCUUAAUUGCGAUAACGAACGAGACCUUAACCUACUAAAUAGUACUGUUAGCGUUUGCUGAUAUAGUUACUUCUUAGAGGGACUAUCGGUUUCAAGCCGAUGGAAGUUUGAGGCAAUAACAGGUCUGUGAUGCCCUUAGACGUUCUGGGCCGCACGCGCGCUACACUGACGGAGCCAACGAGUAUAUCCUUUGCCGAGAGGUAUGGGUAAUCUUGUGAAACUCCGUCGUGCUGGGGAUAGAGCAUUGCAAUUAUUGCUCUUCAACGAGGAAUUCCUAGUAAGCGUAAGUCAUCAGCUUGCGUUGAUUACGUCCCUGCCCUUUGUACACACCGCCCGUCGCUAGUACCGAUUGAAUGGCUUAGUGAGGCCUCAGGA
rnacentral:rRNA from 1 species